rnacentral:rRNA from 1 species
UUUNGCCNNGGGGGGAUUUUGGUCCANNAGCCCUAACGGNNGAACCNGGCAANUNGGGGGAAUGUUNUAGCCAAUAGCUNCCUUGCCUUCGUUUUAAGGGAUGAUGCAAGANUUNGNNUNUNUCNGAAUAAAAUUUUUNGGUAGAANUAUGANAAAUGNCCAUUGUCUGCCCUAUGUGUNUUGACCAAAUUUACGUGCCAGCAGUCGCGGUAAUACGUAGAAGACUAGUGUUAUUCAUGUUUAAUCGGUUUAAAGGGUACCUNGACGGUAAAUCNAGCUUUCCAAGAAAUAAAGUUAAAGGACUAAUUUACCUAGAGUUACUUGUGAGGGGGUAUUAAAGUACUGCUGGNGUAGAGAUGAAAUUCUGUCAUACCUCUUUUCAAUAGAAAAAUGAUGGCNCAGGUAUAGGCGAAGGCAUCCCCUUAUGUGAUAACUGACGUUGAGGGACGAAGGCUUUGUGUAGCGAACAGGAUUAGAUACCCCAGUAGUCGAAGCAGAAAAUGAUGAAUGUCAUAGAUUAGAGGUAAUUUUAUUCUAUAAAUGAAAGUGUAAGCAUUCCACCUCAUGAGUAAUUUGGCAACAUUGGAACUGAAAUCAUUAGACCGUUUCUGAAACCAGUAGUGAAGUAUGUUGUUUAAUUUGAUGGUCCGCAAAAAACCUUACCNCAAUUUGAAUAUUUAUAUUUUUUUUUUAUUGUUUUCUUCUUAAUUUUUUUCUAAGACAUGCUGACGAAUAUGGACAUGAAGAUGAACAUGAGAGUCAAGAUAGUCAUGCUGACGAAUAUGGACAGAUGAACAUGAGAGUCAAGAUGAACAUGAAGAUGAACAUGAAGAUGUACAUCUUCAUGAACAUAAUGAUGAACGAGGCAAAGAAUAAAGUUAACAGGGAGGCAAUAAGAUAUAUUUACAAGCGUUGCACGGCUGUCUUCAGUUAAUGUCGCGAGACUUUGGUUAGUUCCAUUAAAUUAAGCGUAAACCCUUACU